rnacentral:rRNA from 1 species
UACGUAGGCAGCGAGCGUUGUUCGGAAUUACUGGGCGUAAAGAGUGUGUAGGCGGUGCUCUAAGUUCGGUGUGAAAUCUCCCGGCUUAACUGGGAGGGUGCGCCGGAAACUGGAGUGCUCGAGCGUGGGAGAGGAAAGCGGAAUUCCCGGUGUAGCGGUGAAAUGCGUAGAUAUCAGGAGGAACACCGGUGGCGAAGGCGGAUCUCUGGGCCGAUACUGACGCUGAGGAGCGAAAGCGUGGGGAGCGAACAGG